rnacentral:rRNA from 1 species
ACGGAAGGCAGCAGUGGGGAAUAUUGCACAAUGGGGGAAACCCUGAUGCAGCGACGCCGCGUGAGUGAAGAAGUUAUUCGUAAUGUAAAGCUCUAUCAGCAGGGAAGAAAAUGACGGUACCUGACUAAGAAGCCCCGGCUAACUACGUGCCAGCAGCCGCGGUAAUACGUAGGGGGCAAGCGUUAUCCGGAUUUACUGGGUGUAAAGGGAGCGUAGACGGUCUAGCAAGUCUGAUGUGAAAGGCAGAGGCUCAACUCCUGGACUGCAUUGGAAACUGUUAGUCUUGAGUGUCGGAGAGGUAAGCGGAAUUCCUAGUGUAGCGGUGAAAUGCGUAGAUAUUAGGAGGAACACCAGUGGCGAAGGCGGCUUACUGGACGAUAACUGACGUUGAGGCUCGAAAGCGUGGGGAGCAAACAGGAUUAGAUACCCUGGUA